AGCUUGCUUUCGAUGGGCGUCGACCGGCGCACGGGUGAGUAACGCGUAUCCAACCUGCCCAUCACUUGGGGAUAACCUUGCGAAAGUAAGACUAAUACCCAAUGACGUCUCUAGAAGACAUCUGAAGGAGAUUAAAGAUUUAUCGGUGAUGGAUGGGGAUGCGUCUGAUUAGCUUGUUGGCGGGGUAACGGCCCACCAAGGCGACGAUCAGUAGGGGUUCUGAGAGGAAGGUCCCCCACAUUGGAACUGAGACACGGUCCAAACUCCUACGGGAGGCAGCAGUGAGGAAUAUUGGUCAAUGGGCGAGAGCCUGAACCAGCCAAGUAGCGUGCAGGAUGACGGCCCUAUGGGUUGUAAACUGCUUUUAUAAGGGAAUAAAGUGAGCCUCGUGAGGCUUUUUGCAUGUACCUUAUGAAUAAGGACCGGCUAAUUCCGUGCCAGCAGCCGCGGUAAUACGGAAGGUCCGGGCGUUAUCCGGAUUUAUUGGGUUUAAAGGGAGCGUAGGCCGGAGAUUACGCGUGUUGUGAAAUGUAGACGCUCAACGUCUGCACUGCAGCGCGAACUGGUUUCCUUGAGUACGCACAAAGUGGGCGGAAUUCGUGGUGUAGCGGUGAAAUGCUUAGAUAUCACGAAGAACUCCGAUUGCGAAGGCAGCUCACUGGAGCGCAACUGACGCUGAAGCUCGAAAGUGCGGGUAUCGAACAGGAUUAGAUACCCUGGUAGUCCGCACGGUAAACGAUGGAUGCCCGCUGUUGGUCUGAAUAGGUCAGCGGC
rnacentral:rRNA from 1 species